rnacentral:rRNA from 1 species
UACGUAGGGACCAAGCGUUGCUCGGAUUUACUGGGCGUAAAGGGCGCGUAGGCGGCAUGUUAAGUCAGCUGUGAAAUCUCCGAGCUUAACUCGGAACUGUCAGCUGAUACUGAUGUGCUAGAGUGCAGAAGGGGUAAUCGGAAUUCUUGGUGUAGCGGUGAAAUGCGUAGAUAUCAAGAGGAACACCUGAGGUGAAGACGGGUUGCUGGGCUGACACUGACGCUGACAGCGCGAAAGCCAGGGGAGCAAACGGG